CACUCGGGCAGACCCUCUGCACUAGAGCUCUUCUUGCGUCCCUGUCUUCCAGGGCUUGGUAGGCGAGGGUUAAAGAAGGGUGGGGAAGGAUGGAGCCGACUCUGUUCCCUUUACAGUAAUAAGUAAGGCUAUGGAUCCUGACUUUUAAAAACGUCUUCUGUUGUGUUCUGUCGUUUGCAUCUCUCCCCACUCCUUCCGUCUACACCCCAAUCUCAGAAAAUUGUGUUAAGGAAUGGUACCGAGGCCUUUGACUCGUGGGAGAAGCCCCCUCUGCCAGUGUAUACUCAGUUCUAUUUCUUCAAUGUCACCAAUCCAGAGGAGAUCCUCAGAGGGGAGACCCCUCGGGUGGAAGAAGUGGGGCCAUACACCUACAGGGAACUCAGAAACAAAGCAAAUAUUCAAUUUGGAGAUAAUGGAACAACAAUAUCUGCUGUUAGCAACAAGGCCUAUGUUUUUGAACGAGACCAAUCUGUUGGAGACCCUAAAAUUGACUUAAUUAGAACAUUAAAUAUUCCUGUAUUGACUGUCAUAGAGUGGUCCCAGGUCCACUUCCUCAGGGAGAUCAUCGAGGCCAUGUUGAAAGCCUAUCAGCAGAAGCUCUUUGUGACUCACACAGUUGAUGAAUUGCUCUGGGGCUACAAAGAUGAAAUCUUGUCCCUUAUCCAUGUUUUCAGGCCCGAUAUCUCUCCCUAUUUUGGCCUAUUCUAUGAGAAAAAUGGGACUAAUGAUGGAGACUAUGUUUUUCUAACUGGAGAAGACAAUUACCUUAACUUUACAAAGAUUGUGGAAUGGAAUGGGAAAACGUCACUUGACUGGUGGAUAACAGACAAGUGCAAUAUGAU
rnacentral:sRNA from 1 species